UCAGACAUGGUGUAGGGGAAACACGGCCUUUAAUUGUAAGCUGUAAGGUCUGCCCCAAUUUUCAGAGGCAGUCCAGGGUUCAAGUCCCUGUGUCUGAG